rnacentral:rRNA from 1 species
AUAGAUACCCGGGUAGUCCUAGCUGUAAACGAUGAGCACUGGGUUGAGGGGACUUCCACAUCCUCUCGGCCGUAGCGAAAGCGUUAAGUGCUCCGCCUGGGGAGUAUGGCCGCAAGGCUGAAACUCAAAGGAAUUGACGGGGGCUCACACAAGCGGUGGAGGAUGUGGCUUAAUUCGAGGCUACGCGAAGAACCUUAUCCUAGAUUUGACAUGGUUGAGAAUCUCCUUGAAAGAGGAGAGUGCCCUUCGGGGAGCUCUUUCACAGGUGCUGCAUGGCUGUCGUCAGCUCGUGUCGUGAGAUGUUGGGUUAAGUCCCUUAACGAGCGAAACCCUUAUCUUUAGUUGCCAGCGGGUCAAGCCGGGGACUCUAAAGAGACUGCCGGUGUCAAACCGGAGGAAGGUGGGGAUGACGUCAAGUCCUCAUGGCCUUUAUGUCUAGGGCUGCACACGUCCUACAAUGGCACGUACAAAGGGAAGCCAAGCCGCGAGGCCGCGCUAAUCCCAAAAAGCGUGCCCCAGUUCGGAUUGCAGG